GACGGAGAAGGCUAUGUUGGCCGGGCGACGGUUGUCCCGGUUUAAGCGUGUAGGCUGGUUUUCCAGGCAAAUCCGGAAAAUCAAGGCUGAGGCGUGAUGACGAGGCACUACGGUGCUGAAGCGACAAAUGCCCUGCUUCCAGGAAAAGCCUCUAAGCAUCAGGUAACAUCAAAUCGUACCCCAAACCGACACAGGUGGUCAGGUAGAGAAUACCAAGGCGCUUGAGAGAACUCGGGUGAAGGAACUAGGCAAAAUGGUGCCGUAACUUCGGGAGAAGGCACGCUGAUAUGUAGGUGAAGCGACUUGCUCGUGGAGCUGAAAUCAGUCGAAGAUACCAGCUGGCUGCAACUGUUUAUUAAAAACACAGCACUGUGCAAACACGAAAGUGGACGUAUACGGUGUGACGCCUGCCCGGUGCCGGAAGGUUAAUUGAUGGGGUUAGCGGUAACGCGAAGCUCUUGAUCGAAGCCCCGGUAAACGGCGGCCGUAACUAUAACGGUCCUAAGGUAGCGAAAUUCCUUGUCGGGUAAGUUCCGACCUGCACGAAUGGCGUAAUGAUGGCCAGGCUGUCUCCACCCGAGACUCAGUGAAAUUGAACUCGCUGUGAAGAUGCAGUGUACCCGCGGCAAGACGGAAAGACCCCGUGAACCUUUACUAUAGCUUGACACUGAACAUUGAGCCUUGAUGUGUAGGAUAGGUGGGAGGCUUUGAAGUGUGGACGCCAGUCUGCAUGGAGCCGACCUUGAAAUACCACCCUUUAAUGUUUGAUGUUCUAACGUGGGCCCCUUACCGGGGUUGCGGACAGUGUCUGGUGGGUAGUUUGACUGGGGCGGUCUCCUCCUAAAGAGUAACGGAGGAGCACGAAGGUUGGCUAAUCCUGGUCGGACAUCAGGAGGUUAGUGCAAUGGCAUAAGCCAGCUUGACUGCGAGCGUGACGGCGCGAGCAGGUGCGAAAGCAGGUCAUAGUGAUCCGGUGGUUCUGAAUGGAAGGGCCAUCGCUCAACGGAUAAAAGGUACUCCGGGGAUAACAGGCUGAUACCGCCCAAGAGUUCAUAUCGACGGCGGUGUUUGGCACCUCGAUGUCGGCUCAUCACAUCCUGGGGCUGAAGUAGGUCCCAAGGGUAUGGCUGUUCGCCAUUUAAAGUGGUACGCGAGCUGGGUUUAGAACGUCGUGAGACAGUUCGGUCCCUAUCUGCCGUGGGCGCUGGAGAACUGAGGGGGGCUGCUCCUAGUACGAGAGGACCGGAGUGGACGCAUCACUGGUGUUCGGGUUGUCAUGCCAAUGGCACUGCCCGGUAGCUAAAUGCGGAAGAGAUAAGUGCUGAAAGCAUCUAAGCACGAAACUUGCCCCGAGAUGAGUUCUCCCUGACUCCUUGAGAGUCCUGAAGGAACGUUGAAGACGACGACGUUGAUAGGCCGGGUGUGUAAGCGCAGCGAUGCGUUGAGCUAACCGGUACUAAUGAACCGUGAGGCUUAACCUU
rnacentral:rRNA from 1 species